AAUAGAUACCCCGGUAGUCCACGCCGUAAACGAUGAGUGCUAAGUGUUAGGGGGUUUCCGCCCCUUAGUGCUGCAGCUAACGCAUUAAGCACUCCGCCUGGGGAGUACGGUCGCAAGACUGAAACUCAAAGGAAUUGACGGGGGCCCGCACAAGCGGUGGAGCAUGUGGUUUAAUUCGAAGCAACGCGAAGAACCUUACCAGGUCUUGACAUCCCAUUGACCGCUAUGGAGACAUGGCUUUCCCUUCGGGGACAGUGGUGACAGGUGGUGCAUGGUUGUCGUCAGCUCGUGUCGUGAGAUGUUGGGUUAAGUCCCGCAACGAGCGCAACCCUUGUUCUUAGUUGCCAUCAUUUAGUUGGGCACUCUAAGGAGACUGCCGGUGACAAACCGGAGGAAGGUGGGGAUGACGUCAAAUCAUCAUGCCCCUUAUGACCUGGGCUACACACGUGCUACAAUGGACGGUACAAACGGUUGCCAACCCGCGAGGGGGAGCUAAUCCGGAUAAAACCGUUCUCAGUUCGGAUUGUAGGCUGCAACUCG
rnacentral:rRNA from 1 species